GCACCGAUAGCUCAAUUGGAUAGAGUACCUGACUUCGGAUCAGGUGGUUGGAGGUUCGAGUCCUUUUCGGUGCG
rnacentral:tRNA from 1 species